UGUCCAGGGAUGGGAAACGAACCCACAGUGUUCCGCUUACCGGGCAGAUGCCAUGUCCAAUAGGCUACCCUUGUAACUGAC
rnacentral:tRNA from 1 species